rnacentral:rRNA from 1 species
GACGAACGCUGGCGGCGUGCUUAACACAUGCAAGUCGAGCGGAAAGGCCACUUCGGUGGUACUCGAGCGGCGCACGGGUGCGUAACACGUGAGUAAUCUGCCCCUCACUUUGGGAUAGCCACCGGAAACGGUGAUUAAUACCGGAUAUGACCAUAUGUCGCAUGGCGUGUGGUGGAAAGUUUUUCGGUGAGGGAUGUGCUCGCGGCCUAUCAGCUUGAUGGUGAGGUAAUGGCUCACCAUGGCUUCGACGGGUAGCCGGCCUGAGAGGGUGACCGGUCACACUGGGACUGAGACACGGCCCAGACUCCUACGGGAGGCAACAGUGGGGAAUAUUGGACAAUGGGCGGAAGCCUGAUCCAGCAACGCCGCGUGAGGGAUGACGGCCUUCGGGUGGUAAACCUCUUUCAGUACCGACGAAGCGCAAGUGACGGUAGGUACAGAAGAAGCACCGGCCAACUACGU